AUUGAACGCUGGCGGCAUGCUUUACACAUGCAAGUCGAACGGCAGCACGGGGGCAACCCUGGUGGCGAGUGGCGAACGGGUGAGUAAUAUAUCGGAACGUACCCGGAAAUGGGGGAUAACGUAGCGAAAGUUACGCUAAUACCGCAUAUGCCCUGAGGGGGAAAGCGGGGGAUUCGCAAGAACCUCGCGUUUUCGGAGCGGCCGAUAUCGGAUUAGCUAGUAGGUGAGGUAAAGGCUCACCUAGGCGACGAUCCGUAGCUGGUCUGAGAGGACGACCAGCCACACUGGAACUGAGACACGGUCCAGACUCCUACGGGAGGCAGCAGUGGGGAAUUUUGGACAAUGGGCGCAAGCCUGAUCCAGCCAUGCCGCGUGAGUGAAGAAGGCCU
rnacentral:rRNA from 1 species